GACGAACGCUGGCGGCGUGCUUAACACAUGCAAGUCGAACGGAAAGGCCCUGCUUUUGUGGGGUGCUCGAGUGGCGAACGGGUGAGUAACACGUGAGUAACCUGCCCUUGACUUUGGGAUAACUUCAGGAAACUGGGGCUAAUACCGGAUAGGAGCUCCUGCUGCAUGGUGGGGGUUGGAAAGUUUCGGCGGUUGGGGAUGGACUCGCGGCUUAUCCGCUUGUUGGUGGGGUAGUGGCUUACCAAGGCUUUGACGGGUAGCCGGCCUGAGAGGGGGACCGGCCACAUUAGGACUGAGAUGCGACCCGGACUCCUACGGGAGGCAACAGUGGAGAAUAUAACACAAUGGGCGGAAGCCUGAUGCAGCAACGCCGCGUGCGGGAUGACGGCCUUCGGGUUGUAAACCGCUUUCGCCUGUGACGAAGCGUGAGUGACGGUAAUGGGUAAAGAAGCACCGGCUAACUACGUG
rnacentral:rRNA from 1 species